rnacentral:misc_RNA from 1 species
UCGUGCCUGCGGUUUGCUGGCGGCCUCUCCGGGGGUUCGUCGGCACCGCAUCUGGCCCAACCGUGUCUAUUUGUACCUGUUGCUUCGGCGGGCCUGCGGGCGUUGCUCGCUGCCGGAGGCCCUAAAGCCUCGGGCUUGAGCCCGCCGAAGACGCUUGAAACUCCUGUUAAUAUUGGCGGUCUGAGUGGACUUUAUAAUAGUUA